AUCGCACCUGUAGUCAUUCCUAGGAGUGGGGCUUAAGAUGAUGCUUUUCCGUUUUAAAACAAGUAGCAGCAAUACCCCCUAGGAGGCCAACUAUGCUUUCAUUCAUCUAUUUGUUAACGUAGCAAGUAUUUAUUAAACAUCUGCUGUUGCCAAUACAUCAGUGAACAAAAUGAGUAACAUCUCUGCCCUCCAUGGAGCUCACUUGUAGUAGUUGGAGACAAGCAAUAACAAUGAAUAUUAAUUAAUUACACAUUUUGAAGCAGGAGCUAACAAAUUUGAUGAAAGAUAGGAUACAGAAGAUGAGGAAAAGAGGAUUCAACGAUGAGGCUAUGGUGACUGGUCUGAUGAUGCAGCUGCCAUUGACUGAUAUGGGGAAAAUGAGAGGAAAAGCAAAUUUGGAUUUCAAGUGUUUAUGUAGAGAUGCCUGCUAGACAGCAGAUAAAACACUUUGAGUAGAUACACGGAUGUGUGAGACCGGAGUCCAGGAGGGUGUUGUGGGGAGGAGACGCACCUUUGUGAGCACCAUGCUGUAGACCUAUUCAGAGCCGUGGACCUCAUGCUAUCAACAGAGGAGUGAGGGUAUCGAGAGAAGACGAUAAAUUCAGAACACAUGCUCUGGGGCACUGCAAACUUUACAAUAUGGAGAGAUAAAGAAAAACCAGCAAAAAUAAUUGAGAAUCAGGAACGAGUGAGGUAAGAGAAAAUCAAGGAGACUGUUGCAUCCCGGAAACCAAAUAGAAAAGUGUUUCCAGGAGGAUGUGAUUGGCUCAGAAAAAGCCACUGAGAUAACAAUAAGCAGGACGUAUCAUUGGGUUGAGAGGAUGACUUGUAAACUCCAUGAAGGCAGUGCAAUUCCGAAGACAAGGGAAGAGAACUGGAGAAAGUGGGUUAGAAAACUCUCAGGGGUGACACUUUUCUUGAGGAAAAGCAUAGAAAAAAUGAUGACAUCUGCAGGGGUUAUAGAAUCAAAAGGAUUUUUGAGAAGGUGGAAAAAGUUAAACGACAUUUGUAAGCUGAUGCACACGACCCAGGAUAAAGGGAAAACAGGUGAGGCCCAUGGGAAGGCAGAGUUUCUGGAAGAAAGUCCUUGUGUUCUAGCGCCCACAUGAGGGAGUUGAAUUUAAAUGGGUGCAUGACUGCGUCCUAAAGAAUGAAAAGAGAGAAAGCGAGAAUAAGGUAACAGCUGCAGAUGAGUCAAUUGGACAGUGGGAGAUUGAAGAUGUUUUCGAGUGUAUGAACCAAUCUUUUUUUUUUUUUUUUUUUUUUGUGAUAGAGUCUCCCUCUUGUUGCACAGGCUGGAGUGCAGUGGUGCAAUCUUGGCUCCCUGCAACUGCGCCUCCCAAGUUCAAGCGAUUCUCUUGCCUCAGCCUCCUGAGUAGCUGGGAUUACAGACGCCUGCCACCAAGCCCAGCUAAUUUUUGUACUUUUAGUAGAGACUGGGUUUUGUCAAUUUUCUUAAUAAAAUACCAGCUACAGGAACCAGCUGAGAGUGACAAUGAGGAAAGAGGUGUUGGAAGUAGAUAGUCUUCAAAUGCGGGCGAUUUUGCUCCCCUUGGGACAUUGGGCAGUGUCUGGAGACAUUUGUGGUUGUACAACUUGGGGAAGAAAAAAUGAUACUGGCCUUGGGUGAGCAGAGGCCAGAGAUGCGUUUCAAUAUCCCACAACGCACAGGGCAGCCCGCACAGCAGGGCCCCUGGGACAAAGUGCCAACAACGCCGAGGUGGGGAGGCCACACUACGAAAGAGUGAUGGAGUGUCGUGUGUUGCCAUACAAUGCUGAGGGCACAUCUGAAAUCGGUGAUCAGAGAUUGAGGGAGCCAAUAUCUUCAUGUAAUGCUCUGAGUGCUGUGAGAUGCUCCCUGAGUACACAACAGCCAUUUCUACCACCUCUUCUCAUGUCCAGUCAUGCAAGUCUCCAAAGACAAGGUCACUAGUUGCCUGUGGCUGCUGUGACAAACACCACAACCUGGGGAGUUUAAAACCCCAGAAAUCCAUGCUGUCGCGGUUCUGGAACCAGAGAUCUAAAGUGCAGGGUCAGCAGGGCUGUGUUCGCUCUGAAGGGUCUUGGGAAGGACUUCGUCUCAUAGCUGCCGGUGGCUCCCGGCAAUCUAUGCUUUUCCUUGCUUGCAGCCACAUCCCCCAACCUCUGCCAGCCUUCACAUGUGUUUUCCACUUUUUAAAUUUUUUAUAAGGACACCAGUCGGAUUGGAUUUAGGGCCCAUCAUAGUCCAGUGUGAACUCACUUAGCUGCAAAGACCCUGUUUCUAAAUAAGGUCACAUUCCGAGGUUCCAGUGGUACCUGGAUUUUUGUGGGACACUAUGUGAUCCAGCACAGACAGUUUCAAUUGAUGCCAUUAUUUAAGUCAUUCAAGAUCCCAAAGAGAAGCUCAGUUUCUUUCUCUCCAUUUUGAAGUCUUGGAAUUUCCUUCCAUUUUAUUUUAAUGUCCACUCAUGUAUUUUUCCUGCCCUCCUCAGCAACCUGGAGCUGUGCGGACUGAGACUGAGAUGCAUCGCUGAAACUCUCUUUAGGUGUUCCCUACCAUUUCUUCUUGGAAAAGAAGGUUUUACCUCCUGGGAUUUUUGAGAACCUCUAACUUCUCCAUUGGGGACCAUCUCCAGGUACCACCAAAAAAGAGCACAACAGCAGCCUUGCGGAUAAGUCCUGGUCUGGAGUCAGCCACCGCUGCACACACCACUCAGAGCUGCAUCAUCGGGUUACCCCUGGAAAGGCUGCCCACACACCCACAUCCAGGGGUGUCUCGUCACUGCUGACGACUAGCACGGUGAAUGUUCUGCUUCGUGGAGAGACUAUCAGAGCUGGAAUAUCCAUAGGCUUAUAAUCUUCAUGAAUACUUCCUCUCUCAAUUGCCGUGAAAUAAUAUGGCUCCUCAGUCCAUGAAGCUGGCAUCAAUAACUGAAAUAGGCUCGGAAAAGUCCGGGCAAGAGGAACCUGAAAGCUCAGCAUGAGAUGAAGUGGCUGGAGGCACGUGAGUCCUGCACUGAUAGAGGCCGGUUCUGUCAAGCCUCACCUGGAUGAUGUGUGUGACUCUUCCCAUAGAAAGGAGCAGGCUCUCUCAUGAAGCCUCCAUUCUAGCAUUUUGUGAUCAUCUAUGACCUUAGAGGGGUCCUCUAUAACCCUGAGUCCCAAACAGGUGAAUACAGAGUGGGCUCACACUUAUUUCUCCAUUAUUCCUGUGUUCUUUCAGGAGGCUGACCAUCAAACCUACUUAGAAGUCAGACCUUGAAGAGGCUGAAUAUGAUCUCAGAAGGAGGCAGAACCAGCAGGAAUGGGGGGCGUCGUCCACUCGGAGUCAUUCCGCGGGGCUCCCUGCCUCGUUCUUUCUCUUUGUCCUUGUUACGUAAAAUGUCUUUCACUCUCAACCUGAUUUUUAUUCUAUAAGUAUAAGCUUGGUUUCCGUCAUUAAAUGCAUGACAUGUGGUGUUGGUUUACAAUGUUUGAUGCUGUACUCUGUCUGCGGCUCCAUGUGAUCUUUUUGAAUGACCAUAGACAUGCCUAAUGCUGCCUUCAUACUCUAUACAGACAUUCAGUGAACCUCUAUUAAAUCAAUAAAUGUCGAGUGAUGUUACCAUACCCUUCCUGGGUACCACUUCCAGUCAAGGGUGCUUGCCCAUAUUAUUAGGUUGGACAAAACUGUGCAACAGUAAUUGUGGUUUUUGCCAUUAUUUAUUUAUCCUUAAUAUAUUUAUGCAAAUUCCCUUAAUUAUUUUAUAACUUUGAAAGUAUUAAAACAACAUGAUUAAAAUGCCCCACAAA
rnacentral:lncRNA from 1 species